GCCCUCUCUUUCAGCCCAAAGCUAGAACCUUCCAUGUCAUCUUAUAAAUGGAUUGAAGCAGUGUACCUCAGUGUAGAAUAUUCUGCAAGCAAAACCUGGAGAGGCCUACCAAGUGGUGUGCUUUGAACAGGCAGCAAAUGGAAGAGCAGGGACUCAAAGCCAGACGUGACCCCAAGAGCCUGCGCUCUUUUACCACUCUGUGUUCUCUUCUCCAAAAUGUCAUGGUGCCCAUAACUGCAAAAGAAAACUGAACCGAGUCACGUCAGGAACCCCACAUACCGUGUGUCUGAGCCCAGCUGCAUUAGCGCCGUAUAACCAGCCUCAUGCCCACCCAGCCUGAAAUGGGCCAGGCUGGGAUAAGGGUAGCUUCCAAGCCAUCCUCUGACUCUGUUGCCAGUCCACAGUCAAGAUUCCAUUUGUCAAGUUAAAAAAGGUAAAACAAAAACCUCCACUGAUUGGGUGCAAGCAGCUUUCAUCUACAAUUAUUGGUAGAGACCAUCUGGAGCUUUUUGAGAAGGAUUGUGGAGCUACAUCUGGGCUUCAUGAGAAUAUGAUUAAUUCGCAGUAGGUCCAGUUUACCUCUCUGAGAUGGAGCCACCAUCUAAGAACUACCUGGCUAGAAAUCUCAGUUAUCAGACCCUGCUUUGAGACCUUUGUCAUCAGACCUUGUGGAAGGAUGGCAAUGGGUGUGGCUGCUUGAAUGGGCGCUCCUCCAUGAAGAGGAAAAUACCCAUCUCUGCUCACCUGGAUCCUACCUACUGUCAUGCUCUUGCCAAUUGCAAAUACCCGCUGUCUACCUCCUUUGCUAGAUAGUUGACAGAUGACGAUACUGGAAGUACUGUGUUUUGGAGCGUUUGGAGGCACAUUUGGACUUCUCAGAAAAGGCCACCAUGAUGAAUUAGCAAUGUCUGCUGUGGGCUGGGAGGGAGGAUGGGAGGAAUACUGGCGCUCAUACCACGUAUUUGCCAUCCCUUCCUGAGACCAAGACGGCAGUCUCCGGAGUGGUGUGUGUGUCGAGAGAGGAGCAGGUUGCUGCAAUAGAGCAAUAGCAGGGCACCCCCUGUGUGGUGCGAGGACCUUUGCGUGAGGCGUGAGCACCCCGGCAGAACCCUGAGAGCAUUUCCUUCCUGAGAGCCUGUGGGUGCUCACUGGGGCUAUCGGUUGAGAUCAUCUUGGAAUAUGUCCAGCAGGUCAAGUCAAAUAGCAAGGUGGAUCUUCCCCUCUUAGCACUUUUAUUCCAGUGGGCCUAAAUGCCCUUUGUAGCCUGGCAUAACCAGAGUGAAAGACUCUACACUGAUAUUCUCCCAGUGUGAGCUUCAUCUCAUGAGUAUCUCUGCCUCAAAUGAGUGUUCCGUGAUAGCAAAGCAACGCGGUGCAUGUGGACAGCCAGCCUAGCGCACAGAAUGGCUUGGGGAGCAGGGAAGCUCUGAAUCCCCCAGGCAGGAGGCUCUGUCGUGUGCAUUGAGAGUUUUUACUCCAGUCAUCGUCUCGGAGGACAUUAUACACCAAAGCCGAGGCCGACUUUCUCUUGUAAGGUAAAAUAAUCAAAGAAAUAUAAAUUAAAACAGAAAUGAAAUAAUUUUAUCUACUGAGAUUAGCAAAGAUUAAUUUUUUGAAAAAUGAUCCAGGUUGACAAAGCUAUAGGAAUAUAUACAUUCUCAUUUCUACUUGUUGGGAGCACUAACUGAAGCAACCUUCUUCAAGUACCUUUUGCAGCUGGUAUAAAAUUUUAAAUAGUCAUGAAAUUUGGUUCAACAGUUUUUUUUUAGAAAUUUAUUUAAAAAUAUUUGGACAAGUUUAUACAGAUGAAUGUAUGUUGAUGUUAACUGCAGCAUUUUUUAUUAAGAACAAUAAAUGUCUGGCAAUAGACUUGUUAAAAUAAAUAAUGGUACACUUAGAUGA